rnacentral:rRNA from 1 species
AGAGUUUGAUCCUGGCUCAGGACGAACGCUGGCGGCGUGCCUAAUACAUGCAAGUAGAACGCUGAAGAGAGGAGCUUGCUCUUCUUGGAUGAGUUGCGAACGGGUGAGUAACGCGUAGGUAACCUGCCUGGUAGCGGGGGAUAACUAUUGGAAACGAUAGCUAAUACCGCAUAAAAUUGAUUAUUGCAUGAUAAUUAAUUGAAAGAUGCAAUUGCAUCACUACCAGAUGGACCUGCGUUGUAUUAGCUAGUUGGUGAGGUAACGGCUCACCAAGGCGACGAUACAUAGCCGACCUGAGAGGGUGAUCGGCCACACUGGGACUGAGACACGGCCCAGACUCCUACGGGAGGCAGCAGAAGG